UGCCAGCCGCCGCGGUAAUACGGAGGGUGCGAGCGUUAAUCGGAAUUACUGGGCGUAAAGCGCGCGUAGGCGGCUUUGUAAGUCGGAUGUGAAAUCCCCGGGCUUAACCUGGGAACUGCAUUCGAUACUGCAGAACUAGAGUAUGGUAGAGGGAAGUGGAAUUUCCGGUGUAGCGGUGAAAGGCGUAGAUAUCGGAAGGAACACCAGUGGCGAAGGCGACUUCCUGGGCCAGUACUGACGCUGAGGUGCUAACGCUUUGUGAGAAAACAGUCUGCGAUC
rnacentral:rRNA from 1 species